UACGUAGGGCGCAAGCGUUUGUCCGGAAUUAUUGGGCGUAAAGAGCUCGUAGGUGGUUUGUCGCGUCUGUCGUGAAAGCCCGGGGCUUAACUCCGGGUCUGCGGUGGAUACGGGCAGACUAGAGGCAGGUAGGGGAGAACGGAAUUCCCGGUGUAGCGGUGAAAUGCGCAGAUAUCUGGAGGAACACCGGUGGCGAAGGCGGCAUCCUGGACCGACACUGACGCUGAGGAGCGAAAGCCAGGGGAGCAAACGGG
rnacentral:rRNA from 1 species